AAAAAGGCAAACCGCGGGUUUCCGUGCCAACGUUUGACUGUCCGUCUUAUAUGAAAAUUUUUUAUAAUUAGUAUUUUCAUUUUAAUACUUUAUGCGUAACUUAUCUUUUUAAUUUUUUUGUAAUUUUUUCAAAUAAGACGGAUGGUUAAACGUUGAACACAGAAACAGGGUUUGUCUUUUU
rfam:Oryza glumipatula chromosome 12, whole genome shotgun sequence.